UGAACCAUUAAAGAAAAAC
rnacentral:sRNA from 1 species